rnacentral:rRNA from 1 species
UUUGAGGCCCCGUAAUUGAAAUGAGUACACUCUAAAUCCUUUAACGAGGAUCAAUUGGAGGGCAAGUCUGGUGCCAGCAGCCGCGGUAAUUCCAGCUCCAAUAGCGUAUACUAAAGCUGCUGCGGUUAAAAAGCUCGUAGUUGGAUCUCAGUUCCAGACGCGUAGUGCAUCUACCCGAUGCGACGGCUCGGACUGAACAUCAUGCCGGUUCUUUCUUGGUGCACUUCAUUGUGUGCCUCGAGAUGGCCGGUGCUUUUACUUUGAAAAAAUUAGAGUGCUCAACGCAGGCGAGUCGCCUGAAUAAACUUGCAUGGAAUAAUAGAACAAGACCUCGUUUCUGUUCUGUUGGUUUUUGGAAUACGAGGUAAUGAUUAAGAGGGACGGACGGGGGCAUUCGUAUUGCGGCGCUAGAGGUGAAAUUAUUGGACCGUCGCAAGACGAACUACUGCGAAAGCAUUUGCCAAGAAUGUUUUCAUUGAUCAAGAACGAAAGUCAGAGGUUCGAAGGCGAUCAGAUACCGCCCUAGUUCUGACCAUAAACGAUGCCAACCAGCGAUCCGCCUGAGUUACUCAAAUGACUCGGCGGGCAGCUUCCGGGAAACCAAAGUAUUUGGGUUCCGGGGGAAGUAUGGUUGCAAAGCUGAAACUUAAAGGAAUGACGGAAGGGCACCACCAGGAGUGGAGCCUGCGGCUUAAUUUGACUCAACACGGGAAAACUUACCCGGCCCGGCCCGGACACUGGGAGGAUUGACAGAUUGAGAGCUCUUUCUUGAUUCGGUGGAUGGUGGUGCAUGGCCGUUCUUAGUUGGUGGAGCGAUUUGUCUGGUUAAUUCCGAUAACGAACGAGACUCUAGCCUAUUAAAUAGGUGCGGGGUUCCCAGCACCUUACAACCUUCUUAGAGGGACAAGCGGCUCCUAGCCGCACGAAACAGAGCAAUAACAGGUCUGUGAUGCCCUUAGAUGUCCGGGGCCGCACGCGCGCUACACUGAAGGAAGCAGCGUGUCUUUAUCCCUGUCUGAAAAGACUGGGUAACCCGUGGAACUUCUUUCGUGAUUGGGAUAGGGGCUUGCAAUUGUUCCCCUUGAACGAGGAAUUCCCAGUAAGCGCGAGUCAUAAGCUCGCGUUGAUUACGUCCCUGCCCUUUGUACACACCGCCCGUCGCUACUACCGAUUGAAUGAUUUAGUGAGGUCUUCGGACCGAUGUCCGGCGCGGCCUUUCGGGGUUGCGCCGGUCUGUUGGAAAGAUGACCAAACUUGAUCAUUUAGAGGAAGUAAAAGUCGCAACAAGGUUUCCGUAGGUGAACCUGCGGAAG